GAAGGGCAUGUGAUAAUGUGGAGGCAUUAGUGUUAUUAGCAUAUAAGAAGAGAGCACAAUCAGUUUACCAGACGCUGCUGGGGGAAUUGGGGGAUGUGGGGAUUCUUUAAAACAAGUCACUUUGACUGGGAUUGGUUUGCUUUUAGAUUAUGUAGCUUGAAAAAUAAUCAGGGAAUUUUUUUUUUUUUUUUUUACACUCAAGGGCAUUUAGUGCUAGAAAGAUUAUAAAAGUAUUAAAAACUAUUUGUGUUGUAUUCAAAGUCUUCUGAAGUCAUACAAUAAGUUUAUGUGAAAAGUUUCAACAUUGAGGUAUUCAUCGCUGAAAAUAAUUCCACUCUAUAAACACAGUCAUCAUAAAAUACAGCUGAAUUUGAGUUUGAGAUAAAAGACAUCAAAACUGACGUAAUAAAUGUCCCUGUCCACAGCGUCUGUUGAUGCAAAGGUAUCUCAAUGAAACCAGUGAAAUACCCUGCACAUGGAAAACCUGCACUAAAUAGACAAACUAAAAAUUGACGCCAAGGGCUCCUGACCAAGAGUCAAGGAUUGAGAAAGUGUAAAAGACGGUCCCCAAUGAGACUGUGAAUUGUGACGCCUGUUUGGUUGCCUUUACAUUUAUCAAUAUUUCAUAUUCUGUUUAUCUAUGAAACAACAAUGUAGAUAAUAACACAGAAACAGCCAUUCUUGCCAUCAGAAAUAGUUAAACUUAAGUAAAAACAUAAGACAUAGAGUGACUCGUCAGGUCGAGAUGCAAUGCAUAAGAGAAUGGCCAGCAUGCUGAUGACUGGUCAUACAGAAGCUGAUCAUACAGAUGAUCGGUCAUACAGACCGCGUCAUACAGACAGUGAUCAUAUCCUGAUGUAACCCAUCGCUCUCCAGCUGGAGGAAGUGCUGCUUUAUAAUCACAGAACAUUCACUCACUAUUAAAAUGAUUCUGGCUGCUAGAAAGGAGAACAUAUCCUACAACAUGAAAAAGUCAAGUCAACAGUUCACAUUGUUCACUCUAAACAAGAAUUUCACUUCAUCAGAAGGUUCAGUCCUCAAAAAAAGUUUCAGGGACCAGCUUUAACGUUUAAACCUGUGAGUUUUGGCUGUCCAUGUUAAAGACUGGAAAUCUGCAUGCAGAAUCUGGAUUGUUGGGAUAGCUACAUUGGACGUGGUGGAAAGCGAGCAAGGGAAACCAUGGGCACCAAUCUCAGUGUGUCCUCCCAGGUCCAGUGUUUGGGGUGACCUCCUUCCUUUCUUCCAACAGUGUCUUAAAGAAAGAACUGAACAAAUGAAGAUUAUGCUUUCUUCAAUCGACCCGAGGCACCACUGGAGGAAAGGUGGACAAAGUCAGGAAGUUUGUGAACAAUGUGAUGGCCGGGUUUGUUCUCUGUGUUAAUGGAGCAUUGUCCAUCAUCCACACAUAGUGUUUGACAAACCUGGGCUAUAUUUAAAUGAUGAGGUUCAUUUAAGCCCUAAGGGAAAUGAUAUAUAUAUAUUUUACUGAUAUUAUCCAGUGUUUUAGAGACCACAGACCACAGACCCUGAUGCCGGAUUGGUGCAUGUUAUGGGAAAGAAGGUCUCCUGUAUUUUUUUUUUAAGUACCUGUAAAAGUACCCAGCAGUGUGUUCAACAAAUGCCUAACUUAAUAAAAGUAUUGCCCGGACUUACUGCUAUGAUCUUAUUUUAUUUAUCUAGCGUUUAAAAAUAAAAUAAUAUACAAUGCCUAAAAUAUAAACAGCUUCUUUGCAAAAAUGUUGAGUUUCAACCUAAAUUUAAUAAUAAUAAAUUAAUAUCUGGUAUAAUUAAAUACUAUUUGUAUCAUUUCAUUUAUAAAAUACACUUAAAUAGACCUGCUUUCUUUUCUGGGCUUUGCUUGUAUGUCCAAAUACCUGCUCGCUGUGAGAGGGCAGGUGAUAAUGUGGAGGCAUUAGUGUUAUUAGCAUAUGAAGAGAGGAGACCAUCAGUUUACCAGACACUGCUGGGGGAACUGGGGGUGUGGGGAUUCUUUAAAACAAGUCACUUUGAUUCGGAUUGAUCUGCUUUAAGAUUAUGUAGCUGGAAAAAUAAUCAGAUUUCAUUUUACUUUUUUAUAAUGCACUAGCCAGGA